GCCAGCUUAGCUCAGUUGGUAGAGCAACGCACUCGUAACACGUAGGUCACAGGUUCGAUCCCUGCAGCUGGCA
rnacentral:tRNA from 1 species